rnacentral:misc_RNA from 1 species
GAUGAAGAACGUAGCGAAAUGCGAUAAGUAAUGUGAAUUGCAGAAUUUAGUGAAUCAUCGAAUCUUUGAACGCACAUUGCGCCCGCCAGUAUUCUGGCGGGCAUGCCUGUUCGAGCGUCAUUUCAACCAUCAAGCCCCAGGCUUGUGUUGGGGACCUGCGGCUCCCGCAGGCCCUGAAAACCAGUGGCGGGCUCGCUGUCACACCGGGCGUAGUAGAUUUUAUCUCGCUCAGGGCGUGCUGCGGGUUCCGGCCGUUAAAAAGCCUUUUUUACCCAAGGUUGACCUCGGAUCAGGUAGGAAGACCCGCUGAACUUAAGCAUAUCAAUAAGCGGAGGA